rnacentral:tRNA from 1 species
UGGCCCGUGGUGUAACGGUAGCACAGCAGAUUUUGGUUCUGUUUGUCAGGGUUCGAAUCCUUGCGGGCCAA